rnacentral:SRP_RNA from 1 species
GCCGGGCAUGGUGGCGGGCGCCUGUAGUCCCAGCUACUCGGAGGCUGAGGCAGGAGAAUCGCUUGAAUCCGGGAGGCAGAGGUUGCAGUGAGCUGAGAUGGCGCCACUGCACUCUAGCCUGGGCAACAGAGCGAAACUCUGUCUCAA